GAGGGAGCCUGCAAUUUCAAAAGAGGGAGGUCAGAGGCCCUAACCCUAACCCAUCCCUCACUCCUGAGCUCCAGCAGGGUCUCCCAGGAUGAGGCAGCUUCUCUCCUGACCAAGGCUGACCCCUCUGCUCACACAAGAGACCCCGGUCAUCCUACCUCCUCCCCCAGUGGGUUUUCGUUGCCCAUCAGUUCACUGGACGCAUGUAGGGACGGACUCUCCUCUGCUUAUGCUGCUUUUGCCGCAUUCCACGGGUGUUGAGAGAGGCCAAACACCUGCUGGACUGUCUGCAGGCGCACCUUGCCAUCACAGAGAAGGACU